rnacentral:lncRNA from 1 species
UUAUGUUCCGGAGUUUCAGACGAUAACUCGAUCCGGAUCGUUGGACCGUGUAGCAGCGACUACUGUUAAUCGCGAUCAAGAAAUCCGA